AGUGGCGGACGGGUGAGUAACGCGUGGAUAACCUGCCUCAUACAGGGGGAUAACAGUUGGAAACGGCUGUUAAUACCGCAUAAGCGCACGAAACCGCAUGGUUUUGUGUGAAAAACUCCGGUGGUAUGAGAUGGGUCCGCGUCUGAUUAGCUAGUUGGCAGGGUAACGGCCUACCAAGGCGACGAUCAGUAGCCGGCCUGAGAGGGUGUACGGCCACAUUGGGACUGAGACACGGCCCAAACUCCUACGGAAGGCAGCAG
rnacentral:rRNA from 1 species